GCCCUCUUGGCGGAAUUGGUAGACGCGCUAGACUUAGGAUCUAGUUCUUACGAGUGCGAGUUCGAGUCUCGUGGAGGGCA
rnacentral:tRNA from 1 species